rnacentral:tRNA from 4 species
ACUCCAGUGACGCAGUGGUUAGCGUGUCGUUCUUAUAAUGCGAAAGUCGUGGGUUCGACACCCACCUGGAGUA